rnacentral:rRNA from 1 species
UACGUAGGGGGCAAGCGUUGUCCGGAAUUAUUGGGCGUAAAGAGCGCGUAGGCGGUCCGAUAAGUCGGCUGUGAAAGUCCAGGGCUCAACCCUGGAAAGCCGGCCGAUACUGUCGGACUAGAGUCCGGAAGAGGCGAGUGGAAUUCCCGGUGUAGCGGUGAAAUGCGCAGAUAUCAGGAGGAACACCGGUGGCGAAGGCGGCCAUCUGGACGACAACUGACGCUGAGGCGCGAAAGCGUGGGGAGCAAACAGG